AGUCGAACGAUGAUGCCCAGCUUGCUGGGCGGAUUAGUGGCGAACGGGUGAGUAAUACGUGAGUAACCUGCCCUUGACUCUGGGAUAAGCCUGGGAAACUGGGUCUAAUACUGGAUACUACCUCUUACCGCAUGGUGGGUGGUGGAAAGGGUUUUACUGGUUUUGGAUGGGCUCACGGCCUAUCAGCUUGUUGGUGGGGUAAUGGCUCACCAAGGCGACGACGGGUAGCCGGCCUGAGAGGGUGACCGGCCACACUGGGACUGAGACACGGCCCAGACUCCUACGGGAGGCAGCAGUGGGGAAUAUUGCACAAUGGGCGGAAGCCUGAUGCAGCGACGCCGCGUGAGGGAUGACGGCCUUCGGGUUGUAAACCUCUUUCAGUAGGGAAGAAGCGAGAGUGACGGUACCUGCAGAAGAAGCGCCGGCUAACUACGUGCCAGCACCCGCGGUAAUACGUAGGGCGCAAGCGUUGUCCGGAAUUUAUUGGGCGUAAAGAGCUCGUAGGCGGUUUGUCGCGUCUGCUGUGAAAGCCCGGGGCUCAACCCCGGGUCUGCAGUGGGUACGGGCAGACUAGAGUGCAGUAGGGGAGACUGGAAUUCCUGGUGUAGCGGUGAAAUGCGCAGAUAUCAGGAGGAACACCGAUGGCGAAGGCAGGUCUCUGGGCUGUUACUGACGCUGAGGAGCGAAAGCAUGGGGAGCGAACAGGAUUAGAUACCCUGGUAGUCCAUGCCGUAAACGUUGGGCACUAGGUGUGGGGGACAUUCCACGUUUUCCGCGCCGUAGCUAACGCAUUAAGUGCCCCGCCUGGGGAGUACGGCCGCAAGGCUAAAACUCAAAGGAAUUGACGGGGGCCCGCACAAGCGGCGGAGCAUGCGGAUUAAUUCGAUGCAACGCGAAGAACCUUACCAAGGCUUGACAUUCACCGGACCGCCCCAGAGAUGGGGUUUCCCUUCGGGGCUGGUGGACAGGUGGUGCAUGGUUGUCGUCAGCUCGUGUCGUGAGAUGUUGGGUUAAGUCCCGCAACGAGCGCAACCCUCGUUCUAUGUUGCCAGCACGUGAUGGUGGGGACUCAUAGGAGACUGCCGGGGUCAACUCGGAGGAAGGUGGGGAUGACGUCAAAUCAUCAUGCCCCUUAUGUCUUGGGCUUCACGCAUGCUACAAUGGCCGGUACAAAGGGUUGCGAUACUGUGAGGUGGAGCUAAUCCCAAAAAGCCGGUCUCAGUUCGGAUUGAGGUCUGCAACUCGACCUCAUGAAGUCGGAGUCGCUAGUAAUCGCAGAUCAGCAACGCUGCGGUGAAUACGUUCCCGGGCCUUGUACACACCGCCCGUCAAGUCACGAAAGUUGGUAACACCCGAAGCCGGUGGCCUAACCCCUUGUGGGAGGGAGCCGUCGAAGGUGGGACUGGCGAUUGGGACUAAGUCGUAACAAG
rnacentral:rRNA from 1 species